GUAGGGAAUAUUGGACAAUGGGGGCAACCCUGAUCCAGCGACGCCGCGUGAGUGACGAAGGCCUUCGGGUCGUAAAGCUCUGUUGCAAGGGAAAAACAAAAUGAUGGUACCUUGCUAGAAAGGAUCGGCUAACUUCGUGCCAGCAGCCGCGGUAAGACGAGGGAUCCUAGCGUUGUUCGGAAUUAUUGGGCGUAAAGCGGGUGUAGGUGGCUUUGUAAGUCAGGUGUGAAAGCCUGGGGCUUAACCCCAGAAGUGCAUUUGAUACUGCGAAGCUUGAGUGCUGGAGAGGCUACUAGAAUUCUUGGUGUAGUGGUGAAAUACGUAGAUAUCAAGAGGAAUACCGGAGGCGAAGGCGGGUAGCUGGCCAGACACUGACACUCAGACCCGAAAGCGUGGGGAUCAAACAGGAUUAGAAACCCUUGUAGUCC
rnacentral:rRNA from 1 species